rnacentral:SRP_RNA from 1 species
GGUUUGGUUCUGCGCAAUGGGAACCUGUGAACCUCGUCAGGUCCGGAAGGAAGCAGCGAUAAGCAGACCUUUCCAUGUGCCGCAGAUCGACCUGACCCUG